CACCAGCGCCACAAGUGGCAACCAUGAUUAUUGGGCCUAAAGCGUUCGUAGCCGGUUUAGUAAAUUUUCUGUGAAAUCGUCUGGCUUAACCAAACGACGUGCAGAAAACACUGCUAAACUAGAGACCGGGAGGAGCUAGGAGUAUUCAUGGGGGAGCGGUAAAAUGUUAUAAUCCUUUGAAGACUACCUGUGGCGAAGGCGCCUAGCUAGAACGGAUCUGACGGUGAGGGACGAAAGCCAGGGGAGCGAUCCGG
rnacentral:rRNA from 1 species